GGGCAAUUAGCUCAGAUGGAUAGAGCGUUGGCCUCCGGAGCCAAAGGCCGCAAGUUCGAAUCUUGCAUUGCCCACCA
rnacentral:tRNA from 5 species